rnacentral:rRNA from 1 species
AUACGGAGGGUGCGAGCGUUGUCCGGAAUCACUGGGCGUAAAGAGCGCGUAGGCGGUUGUUUAAGUCAGUUGUGAAAUCCCGGGGCUCAACUCCGGACCUGCAAUUGAGACUGGACGACUAGAGCCUGGUAGAGGUGAAUGGAAUUCCCGGUGUAGCGGUGGAAUGCGUAGAUAUCGGGAAGAACAUCGGUGGCGAAGGCGGUUCACUGGGCCAUGGCUGACGCUGAGGCGCGAAAGCGUGGGGAGCAAACAGGAUUAGAUACCCCGGUAGUCC